UGAUUAUAUGGGUUCUAAUUUUUAUUACAAUCAACCAAGAAGUAGGUUCAGUUGUAACAUUCCGUAUAAUCACUUGGAACAUAAUGGUGGCACUAUUGGUGGUAUUGGUGGUGGUACUGACAGUGGUACUGAUGGUGGUACUGCUGAUGAUACUGCUGAUGAUACUGUUGAUGAUACUGCUGAUGAUAAUAAUAGUGAAUAUACAAGUGGUCGGAUCCAUCCUGAAAUUGUUAAUAAAAAUAUGAACAAACGUUAUAACCAGCGAUAUCGAGGAAGAACAAGUAUACCAGAUGAAAAUUUAUAUUUUGGUACAAACUACCCAAAUCAUAAUACUUAUUCUACAAAUAAACCUUUUAAUACUAAUAACACAUUUAUAACAACUACAAACGGAGCUCGUAAUUUAAAUAGCAUAAAUAACAGUACGUAUAAUAACAACAUGUACAAUAACAACAUGUACAAUGACCAGAGAAGACGACAGUCUGCUUACGAAUUGCAAAAUGAAAGUAGUAAUAAAAACUAUAAUGCACCGUAUAUGCAAAAAUAUGAAUAUGGUAACGGUGUGACAAAAUUAAGAGGUAGAGCGUCGGUACAAGAUAUAAACAAUAUCAGUACAAAUGACUUAGGUAUAAGGCAAAGGUUAAAGCAUAAAUUACCAUACGAAGAACAAACUGAUCAUUAUAAAUAUAUAAAUCACAAUCAGGAUAUACAACAAAUAUAUACUAAUGAACAUUAUACACAUGAUUAUAAUGCAAAAAAUAAUUCAAGACAAUACUACCCACAGUUUGUACAUCCAAACGAGAUGGUACAUAACGAAGCAAACGAAUUAAACAUGAUACAUGAACUUUUGUACAAAAUUGAUGAAGCAGUAGAUGUAAAAAGUAAUAAAAGUAUAUAUAUGCUUAAAAAAGAUUUACAAACUAUACAAAACAGUUGUUUAAAAAGAAUAUCAGAUAAUGAUAAAAUAAUUGAAAAAAAUAAAUCAUUAAGAAUCCAAAAUUUGAAAUUUUAUUUUUUUAAA
rnacentral:lncRNA from 1 species